rnacentral:rRNA from 1 species
UACGAAGGGGGCUAGCGUUGUUCGGAAUUACUGGGCGUAAAGGGCGCGUAGGCGGCGUGUCAAGUCAGGCGUGAAAGCCCCGGGCUCAACCUGGGAACCGCGCUUGAGACUGGCAUGCUCGAGUUCGGGAGAGGAUGGUGGAAUUCCCAGUGUAGAGGUGAAAUUCGUAGAUAUUGGGAAGAACACCGAUGGCGAAGGCAGCCAUCUGGACCGACACUGACGCUGAGGCGCGAAAGCGUGGCGAGCAAACAGG